CACGUAGGGCGCGAGCGUUGUCCGGAAUUAUUGGGCGUAAAGAGCUCGUAGGCGGCCUGUUGCGUCCGCUGUGAAAGCCCGGGGCUUAACCCCGGGUCGGCAGUGGAUACGGGCAGGCUAGAGGUAGGUAGGGGAGAAUGGAAUUCCCGGUGUAGCGGUGAAAUGCGCAGAUAUCGGGAGGAACACCGGUGGCGAAGGCGGUUCUCUGGGCCAAAACUGACGCUGAGGUGCGAAAGCGUGGGGAGCAAACAGG
rnacentral:rRNA from 1 species